rnacentral:tmRNA from 1 species
UUUAUAAUAGUAAUGUUGGUUUCCAACUAUAGCAAUAAAUGCUUUAUGUAAUAAGUUGCACGGACCCGGGGGCGGUACCCGGCGCCUCCACCAUCAAAAUUAUGGGGGCGAAAUAGGCUCGACGUAUAACAAAAGAUAAAGACUUUGCUCGGUAUUGUACCACCGUUAUCGGGCUGAUUUUAUAAACGCUAACGAAAAUUUAGCACUCGCUGCCUAGUUUCUAGGAUAGCGCGGUUUGGGGCACCGGGCAACAGAACGCCCCAUAAACUUUUCAAGAUUCAUAAGCGUUCUCUCGUUCUUUCGAUGGU